rnacentral:tRNA from 1 species
GGUCGGUUAGUGUAGUUGGUUAUCACAUCGGAUUCUGAUCUUGAAUUUUAUCUAGAUCAUUUGAGUUUUCCGGUAACCGGGGUUCGAAUCCCCGACUGACCU